CAAGUUUAAGCUUGGAAAUAAAGGGGGAGUGAGGGAAUAAAAAAAGCAAAGCCUUACAGAGCCUCAGCUCCACCUAGGAACAAAUAACGGUCUGUCUGCUUCUGGAAGAACUUCCCACCGCUGAGGACGGAUGGGGCGGACCCCAAAAGCUAGAUGGGGUUGUGUGAGAGCUGGUGAUAGUGCCAGCAGGACUCCACAGCCGACAAGAGACAUCGUUGGCCUUGAUGUCCGUCACAACGGAAAAUGCUCGUUUAAUCCAAUUUGGGGAAGUCUGUCAAACUCUCAGAAACAAUAGCAGCGAGACUCUUAUGCAGUCAUGGGGAAAGUUUAGUAUACCAAAAAAACUGUGUGUAUUAGGUAAGGUGACAAAUGGAGUCACACCUCCCAGAAGUCCCAGUUUGUGGUCUUUAAGCUUUUUUUCUUGUUGGGGGAAGGUGGAGAGAGCCGAAUAUUAUCCAGGAAGGUGACCAAAUCCGUGCCUAAAAAGCUCAGCUGCUAAAGGUUUUAUAAAUGAUCUUUGCACUGCAAGUUUCAGUUUUCAUGAAGCCAAAUUGAGAUAAAUCCAAAAUUUUCUAUGGAUUUAAAAGAACGCUUACUAAAAUAUUCUUGUCAUUCACAAUAAUAAUGGAGUGAGUGAACUUGUUCCACACAGUGACCUUACUUUAUUAUUUUGUUUGUUGUAUUCCAGCAAACUGUGUAUGAUCCCAGGAGCAUAGGCACAGUCUUGUGUAGCAUUGUCAUUCUGCCCCACCGCUCUGAUAUCUAACAAAGUAAUACAUUCUGGAUGUUGUCUACAAAUUCUUUCCUUCUUUAUGUAAGAGGUCGAUGCGCGUCGCCUAGUUUGUCACAGAGCGUCACUGAAGUACUGUGUUAUUUGUAUUUGUGAAGACAGCAGAAUCAAAGACAGCAGGUCAGUGACUCCCACCGAGAUGGUCAUUAAGAUAAAACAGUGAAGUUUCUAGCAUAUAUUAAAAAGCCUGGAGGAAUUAGCAUAGCUUGCAGUAAAGCGUGCUGGAAAGAGAUGAUAUCUGAGAGCAAGCAUGAAAAUGUCGUCUUUUUACCAAGAAUGAUGAGAACUGAUGCAUCUGCCCUGCGUUUGGAUAGAAGAUGCCCUGGAUUUAAAGAUGGUGUGUAUUAAAUGAAGUAUGAGAAGAAACAGCUUCUUCGGACACUUGCGCUCCUCUUCCUCAGCUCGUGGAGAAGGCUGACAGCCUGUCUCACUCUCGUCAGUGCUAUCCCACCAGCUCCUUUAGGAGCCCAGCACCGCGUUUGGCCUGUUGCGAUCUUCCCGCUCCCCUCAUUUCUGUGCUGCAACGCCACCAUCCACGAGAAGUUGGACAGGAGAAAAGCUCUUUCCAGAGAGAUGGAGAAGGAAUUAAUUAGACCUCUGCCUCAUCCUGCAAGACCAGAAGACAUGGAGUAACUGUAAGCUGCUAUUCUCAGGAGACAUACUAAGAGUCUCGGGUUCCUUUUCUGCCCGCCCCCCAAGGCCUUGGGCACGUUGGGUUCACCCUGGGAAGGGCACGUUGCUCAGGGCAGUUAUUUCCUCCCCUAGACGACGUGGGGUGCAUUUCUCUGCUGCACUUGUGGUUUUCCACCUGUGGUUUUUCACUUGUGGUUUUCCACGUGGUUCGCACUGCUUCCAUUAUUGAGAAAACGGUUUGGGAAGCUGUGUCUGCCACUUCUCAGGAUUUUCUGCCACCACCUGCUGGCAAAAAAAAUCAGUAACGCAGGUGGAGCCAUGUAGGACUUCUCAGAGGUAAGCCUUCAACGUAUGGGGACCCCUAAACUCGUGAGCCGAGCACGCAAGACAAAUGUCCGUGGCACAAAGAUCAAGGACGACUUCUCAGAGCAGUAGGUAAACCUUAGGAGGAAUCGGUCAAAGGAAACAGCAACUGUCAAGUUCUUGUUCGGCAACUCGGUGACUGGUUUGAUCUACUUCUCAGAUGUAGAGGCAAAUGGACUGCUCUUUUGAAAUGAUAAAAUAAAAAGCAUGAAUUUUGUCAAA